rnacentral:rRNA from 1 species
CGAGGAGGGCGUGAGCGCGGCGGGGGAAAGGAGAAGGAGGACGGAGUAGAGAGAGAGGGGGAGCUGGGCGGGGGCGGAGGGACGGGGCGGCGGUAGGUCUAGCGAAGGCGAGCGGGAGCGGAGCGGCGCAGCAGAGGAGGAGGGACGGGAGAGCCACGAGGCUCGCGCCGAGCGAGCUGGAUCGGGCGUAGAGGCCGCAACACGCGACACCAAGACCAGGCCAGCGUCCAGCGUCGGUACCCUUUCGUGCCCGUCUUACCUUCUCGUCUCCUCCAGCCGCCACCCCCUUCCUCGUCGCUCCUCGAGUUAGACCUACGGCGGCGGCGGCCUACUCCUCGGGUUUUUUAAGGGGUUGGGGGGUCGCGGCGACGGAGAGGAAGCUGGUACCCAACGUCGCCGGUCUCUUGGUCCCCGUCGACCAAAGAUCCCCUCGAUGCAUGAAUAUACGUCGCCGUUGAUGAUUGUAGUACAUCUAGGUUCUACGUAGGUAAAAAAGGGGUUCGUCGAUUGAAAACAAUACAUGAGACAUCGAUACCAACAUCUUGUGGGGGUAGGGAAAAGAAUGAUAGUUUAAAGGAACUAAGCUCGAUAAACUGAUGUACAAUAAUAUACGGGGUCCCAAUUAAUCAUGGAUGUUACGAUGGAAGUCAAACACUUUUUCCAGGUUUCACCAAAGACGUUAAGAAUAAUACGAAGUAUCUAAGUCAGUACAUCAAGUUGUCAAAGUCACCUAAACCCACAAAGAAAUAUUAACAAUAAGGGAGCAAUCAAAAAACAAGACACCUCUCAUAUAAAGAAAACAACACUGAACAACAAUAUUUCUGACAGGAAAAACCAGAGUACUUACAUAUACGAUUAGGAAACACUAACAACACAAUCACGUGUGAAUAAAUAAGUAUAGUUUUAACACACACACAAACACACCAAUUAUGAGUGAAGUAAAACUAUAUAAACAGAAGAAUUAUUGGGUAGCACGUGUGUCUUUACUGAAGUAUUGGAUAAUUUUCUGGUAUGACCUUGGUGGAUACUGG